CACACGUGCUACAAUGGACAAUACAAAGGGCAGCGAAACCGCGAGGUCAAGCAAAUCCCAUAAAGUUGUUCUCAGUUCGGAUUGUAGUCUGCAACUCGACUACAUGAAGCUGGAAUCGCUAGUAAUCGUAGAUCAGCAUGCUACGGUGAAUACGUUCCCGGGUCUUGUACACACCGCCCGUCACACCACGAGAGUUUGUAACACCCGAAGCCGGUGGAGUAACCUUUUAGGAGCUAGCCGUCGAAGGUGGGACAAAUGAUUGGGGUGAAGUCGUAACAAGGUAGCCGUAUCGGAAGGUGCGGCUGGAUCACCUCCUUU
rnacentral:rRNA from 1 species